rnacentral:misc_RNA from 1 species
GUUUUCCAUUUGUUAAUAAAUUUUGUUAGUCCUGAUAGGUAGGGCAUUGUUGUUAAUAAUAAAUGGUCAGUUACAUUUGUCAUGUAAGGUCACCAUCUUGGAAGGGCUAUAUAUGAAUGAAGAGUGAAGGCAUGUAUUUUCAUCUAUCACAACUUUUUUACUAGGGCUUGUAAAUAAUGACCUUAAAGAUUAAUUAGUUACCACUCUUGUCAGUUUUUGUGGAGCCACUUUCUCAAAAUUUCUAUGUCCACCCAUGACGCAUAUACCUUAAGCCGAUCCCUAACCAGUUGGCUGGCUAAAUAUGCAUUUAGCCUCUGGAAUCAUUUACCCAUAUUAGCAUAAAUAUAGUAGCUAUGCCAUGUGUAGGAAACAUAUGGUACAUAAAGAUAUGCGUGAAAGAAAGAGAGAUAGACUUACGGCGGAUCGGAGGCAUUCUAG